rnacentral:rRNA from 1 species
UACGAAGGGGGCGAGCGUUGUUCGGAUUUACUGGGCGUAAAGGGCGCGCAGGCGGCUUAUUUUGUCAGGCGUGAAAGCCCCGGGCUUAACCUGGGAACUGCGUUUGAUACGGAUGGGCUAGAGUUCGGGAGAGGAGCGUGGAAUUCCCAGUGUAGAGGUGAAAUUCGUAGAUAUUGGGAAGAACACCGGUGGCGAAGGCGGCGCUCUGGACCGUAACUGACGCUGAGGCGCGAAAGCUAGGGGAGCAAACAGG